GACAGAGGUGCCGAGCGUUAGGCGGAAUCACUGGGCUUAAAGCGUGUGUAGGCGGCUGUCUAAGUGCCUUGUGAAAUCCCACGGCUUACCCGUGGAACGGCUGGGCAUACUGGAUGUCUUGAGCCACUUAGGGGCUACCGGAACAAAUGGUGGAGCGGUGAAAUGCGUAGAUAUCAUUUGGAACGCCAAUGGUGAAAACAGGUAGCUGGGAGUGUGCUGACGCUGAGACACGAAAGCCAGGGUAGCGAACGGG
rnacentral:rRNA from 1 species